UAAAGAUUUCAGAGGUUUUUAAGAGUUCCUUGAUACUCUAAGGUACUAACUUACCCGUAAAAGUUAGAGGUUCUUAAGAGUGCCCUUGAUACUCUAAGGUGUGAGUCUACCCGUAAAAGACUGAUUCCUAAGCGAAGUAGCCUUAAAACUUAGAGAGGUUUUUAAGAGUUCCUUGAUACUCUAAGGUACUAACUUACCCGUAAAAGUUAGAGGUUCUUAAGAGUGCCCUUCAUACUCUAAGGUGUGAGUCUACCCGUAAAAGACUGGUUCCUAAGCGAAGUAGCCUUAAAGCUUAGAAAGGUUUUGCCAUUACCUUUAGGCGAGUGAAUUCCGGCAGUUGGUCGGGACUGGACUAGCCCUUGUUUGGGUGAACCAGUAUAAAUCUCUUGUGUUGUUCUCUGUUAAUUAUAGUUCUAUCUUUUGUUUAAAAACAACACUUAAUUAAAAAGAUCCCUCUUCCAAUUAUCUGGUCAAACACAGAG
rnacentral:lncRNA from 1 species